ensembl:lncRNA
UGACGUUAAUGAACUAGCGAAGUUGGAAACUAAUUGAAGUAGACUUCUUGGUUCAAAUGAGGAUCAAACGGUAUCUUGUCUGUAAUUCUAUAAUAAUUACUUGUUUAUACUAAACUCAUUUAUUUUGAAAUAAUAUUAUGAAAGUUUUGAAAAAUUUUGUCAAUUUUUUUUUUUUAAUCCGAAAAUAUUAGGUAAGAAAUGUAUAGAAAAUAAAUUACAAAAAUAUGUCAAAAAUGUUUUGAUAGUAGUAGAAAGUAGUAGAAAGUAGAAGAAAUUUAGGUCAAAAAAAUUGUUGAAAAAAAAGUCGAACUAUGUUAAUGUUGAAAAUUCAUGGGAAAAAAGUGCAAAAAAAAAUAUUAGGCCAGACAAUGUUUUCAAAGAAAACGUGUGAUACUCAUGUAUGUCAAACAUUUUCCUAGAACAAAAAAUUCAUAUAAUUGUUUUCCCUUUUUGUUGCUUUUUUUAAGGGCUUGUUCAGCUAUAAAAAUAAGUUAAUAUAUGAUGACAAAGCAUCAUUUGCCCCAAUUCACUUCAUUCAAAAGCGGCCUCCAGGGCCCUGGCUGCUGUUUCUCUGCUCUCAGAUGUUUCAGCAGCUGCAGAGUCGCGCUCAGCGGGGAAGACGUGUUUGCAGAGGGAACAAAAACCCAGAACAUGAAGCAUCUUCCUGCAGGCCGACAUUCAUCCGAGCUUCAUCCAGUCUGCCGCACAACCAGCCAACCUGUCGUGGUGCUUUUCUUGGACGUUGCUUGCUGUGCCCCUCUGUGUGGAGACUACACCCCCUCUGAAUAAAAAACCACCGUGAGGCGCUCUGCUGCAGUCAGUUUUUGUAGCAUAUUAUAAAUUUAAACCAAGGACACAGCUGGGGAUUUAUGGACGGGCUGAGAUUAUAUCACCACACAGUACGAUGAUAAUAAGCCUCCACCGAUUCAUCACUGCGGCCGGGAACGCUUACCUCAGCUAAAGUCUCCAUUCAAUAGAAACUCUCUUCAUUUCUGAUUCUUCCUCGCGAUAAAUCAGAACUUCCCCGGCUCAGAAACGCUCGGCUUCCCCCGAGGAAGUGUGUCUCCUUCAGACGAGUAUCCGACUGGAUUCAUUCACUCGUGCUGAGAACUGACAUUUAUCAUCCAGAAAAUAUAAAUAGAGAACAACAGCAAGCAUUCAAAGAGUCAAACAGCCCCUUUAAUGAAAGUUGAAUGUUGAACUUAAAGAUGCCAUUUGAUUGAGCAGCAAAUCCUCAUGAAAGCGGCUCGUGUGAAGUGUGAAUGUGACAUUAUUUAGUGUAAAACCCGACUAGGUUCAAGAAGAGAUUGAGCUUGAGGGUAGAAAUAAUCACAGUCGGGACGCUUACGUAACAAAUAAGUCAACAUUAACUUUCUGCCUCACUCAGUCUCCGGAGGGAAAGUCUGGCUCUGUGAAAACAGCGAAAAACCACCAUCAUCAUCGUCGUCGUCGUCGCACUCUGUUUAUUCAAAGCGACUCAAAUCGGCGAUCUCCUUUUCGUUGUGAAAUGCUGCGUGGGAUCACAUCUGGAAACACUGCAGCCCAUCGGGGGAGCGGAGAGGUCGCCUUCGCCAGGCGACCUCUCACGUGCGUCGCCGAUAGCAACGAGGAGGCCGAUCCGUCUCCGUGUCUUCGCCUCCUCGCUGCAUCGCGGCAGCAACUCAGGUAACAGACGUAAAUGAGUCAAAUAAACCGGUUUGUGUCUGUUAGAGCUGUUUAUGAGAAGAAUAAUCAAAUAAAAAAACAAGUUAGGCGUUUAAAAGUAUGUGUAUUUGUUUUUAAGCUCUUUUUAAUUGUAAAUAAAUGUCCACUCCCCUGUGGACUCACUUAACGCUCUUAACAUUUUUAAAACAGACGUCUCAUCCGAUAUAGAAAUGAAAAAUGAAAAUACGCAAAGUACUUGAGGCUAAAAUCAUUUUCACUCCUUAAAGCCUGAAACAAACACACAAUGUCACAUUUCAUCGUUUUGGUUGAGAAGAUCUUGCUUUUUUGGGGGGUAAGUUUCCAACUUUAAACUCAUUUGAAGGACUGCGUUCGCCUCCAGGAAACAUCUCUAAACCCCGACGGGCUUCAGCCCGCCGUCGCGGCCUUUAGUCACACGAGAAAUACUGAGAGAAUUGUUGAAGGGGAACAAAUCAUUUAGCGGCGGAAUCCGUUGAAAAUAAAUCUCCUCAAACGUUGGAAACUUUCACGUCUUCCCUUAAAGUCUCCACGCAGUUCCUCCUCGCCGACGUAACGAGGUCAGAAGGUCAGAAGACCGAAGUCAAAGCGGUGAAACUCAUUUCAUCUCCUCCAUUCUCGCGAUGGGUCGGUGAAGGAGCCGCAGGAAGCCUCCUUGCUGUCGGCGGGAACGCCGAACUCAGUCGCUUCCUAACGAGUGCGGCGGGAAAACCAAACGUGGCUAUUUGUCGAGGCGAUAAGUCUCAAGCACAGAGCCGACGUCAACAACUCUUUGCAGGCGCAAAGACAUCGAAAAGGUUUGAAAAACUCCCCAGUCGGCGUUUAAAUGAGGGCGAUUAGCUGCGGGGUCACUGCGAUGCUAACCGUUAGCUCCCGCAGCAACACGCUCACACAGUUUGUUCCAGAGACUCAUUCAAAUGUUUGAUAAAGGAGCUUUUUACUCAAAUAAGAGGAAGGAUAAACUAUUAAUCAAAGUUGCAUUAAUGCAACAGCUUUGGAACAAAUCAAAUGCAAUUCAAAGGGAAACUAAAUAAUUAAAAUGAUUUGCUGAAUAAAUUAAUCAUUGUAAAACAGUCAAAUUCAUGUGGUUCAUUUCUUUUCCAUCUUCCUCCUCAGUGCGACAGAGCGCCUUGUUUGUCCAAAACGUCCCCAAAGGUCGUCUCCAGUAAAAACGUUGUUCCCCUCCGUGUGAAUUUGGUUUUGCUGAACAGCUGUUUUAGGUUCUUCGGCAGCAACAAUGGCGCCGAGAGACAAAACAACACACUGGUCUACUCGGUAUUGUCUGAAAAGGACGAACUACGCGUGUGAUCGUCCUGAAUAAAGUCCCGCGCAGCAGCUGUUGCUAUAGUAACCAUUCAGCCGUGCCGGCCCCCAUUCACAAAAACAAAAAGACGGGCAGCAGCACCCAUUGUGAUGGUGGAUAAUUCCACCCGCGCUUUUCCUUCUGAAGAUGUUUUCUCAGGUUUCUUGACACGACAUCACUCCGGCGCCGCCUUCCUUUUGGGCGACAUGCUGCACACUGCUGGUCGUCUGCGUUCUCCAGGUGAAGACAGUGUGGACGGACGUGUAUCGUGAAGCCAUCAGGACGUAGAACUCGUCACACGCCACGACUCCUCUGUGUAAAUAGUCAUUUGGUACGAUGCAUAAGAUUUGGUUGAAUUGGCCCACGAGUGGCGUUCAGGUGACGGAUGGCCACCUCGAAGUUUACUCAAUGGGAUUUAUGGUCACUUCAGACCACUAUGGAUUUUUAUGAAGAGGUCCGGAGGCACAAUUAAAAGGGAAACGUGACGAUCAAUAACUUGUAGCUGCUGAAUUGUGGCCAAAACAAAGACAUGUUUCAUUAUAGGAAGUCAGCGCGGCCUGAAUCAGCUUAUUUCACAACACGGUUUAUUAAUUAGUACAUGACUGACCGACGGGCUGCAGCAGGAAGUCAAUCAGACGUCAAUGCGCGACGCUCAUUAUUGUGCCGAUGGUUCAAUAAAUACAAGUAAUGGAUCCUGUUUGUGAUUCCAGUGUUCGUUUAUUCUAUUGACUUCAAUAAACAACAUCUGGAGCCACGGAGAUAAAAGCCUGAAUAAAGCAACUGUUACCUCAGGUCUCACUUUAGUCCUGAUCCUCUACAGACCUCCACGGGUAAACCAGACCAUCAGAGACAAGAUGGUCCCUUUCUACAUAGUUCUUCUAAAUUAUGUCAUUAAUGAUGUCAUCGAGUCGGAUUCUGUUGAAUCCAGAUGACAUCAUGAAGGUUCACGAGAACCUCCUUCAGCUCAGACCCCAGAGACAUGUCAACCGUGGACAGACCCAGAUCCUCCAGCAGAGACGUGUCCACUGAGUACAGAUCAGAUCCUCCAGCAGAGACGUGUCCACAGAGGACAGAUCAGAUCCUCCGGCAGAGACGUGUCCACAGAGGACAGAUCAGAUCCUUCAGCAGAGACGUGUCCACCGAGGACAGAUCAGAUCCUCCAGCAGAGACGUGUCCACCGAGGACAGAUCAGAUCCUCCAGCAGAGACGUGUCCACUGAGGACAGAUCAGAUCCUCCAGCAGAGACGUGUCCACCGUGGACAGAUCAGAUCCUCCAGCAGAGACGUGUCCACUGAGGACAGAUCAGAUCCUCCAGCAGAGACGUGUCCACUGAGGACAGAUCAGAUCCUCCAGCAGAGACGUGUCCACCGUGGACAGACCCAGAUCCUCCAGCAGAGACGUGUCCACCGAGGACAGAUCAGAUCCUUCAGCAGAGACGUGUCCACUGAGGACAGAUCAGAUCCUCCAGCAGACGGUCAGACCUUGCAGCAGCAGGAGAGGUUUCCUAAAGGGACCCUGGUGAGAAGACAUCACUUUAGUCCACAGGGACCAAAAGAAUCAACACAAAAUGAAAAUCCCGGAAGAGGGAUGUUUAGUUUGUUGAGUUAAUAACACAAAGAUCACUUAGUACAUGUUGAUGAAUUAUUCAAGGCCUCUUGUGUGUUUGAGAGGCUGAAGCGCUGUUUAAGUUUCAGAUGUUUACCCUCCGGUCACCUUCCUGGAGACUUUUUAACAUCCUGUUCCUCGUCGGUCCGUCCUGUGAUGCCUGCGUAUUCCCAGCGGAAUGAACUAGAAGCUACUUCACGUCCUCCUUCAUCAACUAAAAACAUUUAAAAAGGGCCGCGGCUCUCCGGCUACAAACCAGCUGCCUGCUAAUCCUCAGCUUGAGAGAUGUUCUGAGGAGACUCCACACACUCUCUCGGGGGAACUUUUAUCUGAGAAGUUAAAAAUAACGCAUGUCAGACAUCUUUUCACCUCCUUAAUCCUCACAGAGUCUGAAUGUCAGAGCAGCAAACAAACAAGCUGGAAUCUCUGUCGCUUUAUCCGCGUAGAAGGAACGAUCCUCGAUGCCGCCUCGCCUCGUCUUUCACUUCUGCAGCAGAUGUGAUCCGCCGCCUUUCUGAUGCUGUUUCACGGGUGGACGAGGGGGGUGGUGGGGGUCGAGGGGUGAUCUUCUUUUUAUUCACAUGCAGCGGCCCGAGUGGGUAUCACACCUCUAGAGGCCUCCUGGGGAGUCUCCUUCAGAAGGCCUCUUAAUGGCGAGGGGGGGUGAGGGAGAGGUGGAAUAUUAAUGCUCUGGAUUGCACCUCUUCUUCCCCUGAAGGACAAGAAAAAGGCCUUUUUCCCCGUAUUUUAAGAGAGUCUGACUCAGAUUCGGUGUGAAGUUAUUCAGCAGGUCUGUGUGUGUGUGUGUGUGUGUGUGUGUGUGUGUGUGUUAGCGUCCCCCCGAUGAAGAUGGAGAUGUGAGGUGGCAGCUGACGGACAGGAAUCCCGGGGGGCGGGGCUCUCAAUCGGCAGCUCGGGUGCAUAAUUGACUUUGGGCGUAGCGGCUGGGAGGAUGCGGGUGGAGGAGGCGUGUGUCGAAUCGCUCUGCCUCUCUUCAUCCCACACCGGAUAAACAAAAGUGACAAACGUGAAGCGCUCACGCCGCCAGUUAGUUUGAUGAUGUCGUGUUUUAAUGACCCUCAGUCAGUCUCAGGAUGAGAUGGCGAAAAAGAUCCAUCCAUCCAUAGAAGUCAAAUAGUAAGAAACAUUAAUAUGCUCAGUGUCAUUAUUGUAGGUCUCUCUCCUGACCAGCAGGGGGCGACUCCUCUGCUCCCAUAGACGUCUAUGAGGAAAUGACUCUACUUCUCUGUAGUGACCAGCAGGGGGCGACUCCUCUGCUCCCAUAGACGUCUAUGAGGAAAUGACUCUACUUCUCUGUAGUGACCAGCAG